GGCGUGCUUAACACAUGCAAGUCGAACGGAAAGGCCCUGCUUUUGUGGGGUGCUCGAGUGGCGAACGGGUGAGUAACACGUGAGUAACCUGCCCUUGACUUUGGGAUAACUUCAGGAAACUGGGGCUAAUACCGGAUAGGAGCUCCUGCUGCAUGGUGGGGGUUGGAAAGUUUCGGCGGUUGGGGAUGGACUCGCGGCUUAUCAGCUUGUUGGUGGGGUAGUGGCUUACCAAGGCUUUGACGGGUAGCCGGCCUGAGAGGGUGACCGGCCACAUUGGGACUGAGAUACGGCCCAGACUCCUACGGGAGGCAGCAGUGGGGAAUAUUGCACAAUGGGCGGAAGCCUGAUGCAGCAACGCCGCGUGCGGGAUGACGGCCUUCGGGUUGUAAACCGCUUUCGCCUGUGACGAAGCGUGAGUGACGGUAAUGGGUAAAGAAGCACCGGCUAACUACGUGCCAGCAGCCGCGGUGAUACGUAGGGUGCGAGCGUUGUCCGGAUUUAUUGGGCGUAAAGGGCUCGUAGGUGGUUGAUCGCGUCGGAAGUGUAAUCUUGGGGCUUAACCCUGAGCGUGCUUUCGAUACGGGUUGACUUGAGGAAGGUAGGGGAGAAUGGAAUUCCUGGUGGAGCGGUGGGAUGCGCAGAUAUCAGGAGGAACACCAGUGGCGAAGGCGGUUCUCUGGGCCUUUCCUGACGCUGAGGAGCGAAAGCGUGGGGAGCGAACAGGCUUAGAUACCCUGGUAGUCCACGCUGUAAACGGUGGGUACUAGGUGUGGGGUCCAUUCCACGGGUUCCGUGCCGUAGCUAACGCUUUAAGUACCCCGCCUGGGGAGUACGGCCGCAAGGCUAAAACUCAAAGGAAUUGACGGGGCCCCGCACAAGCGGCGGAGCAUGCGGAUUAAUUCGAUGCAACGCGUAGAACCUUACCUGGGUUUGACAUGGAUCGGGAGUGCUCAGAGAUGGGUGUGCCUCUUUUGGGGUCGGUUCACAGGUGGUGCAUGGCUGUCGUCAGCUCGUGUCGUGAGAUGUUGGGUUAAGUCCCGCAACGAGCGCAACCCUUGUUCACUGUUGCCAGCACGUUAUGGUGGGGACUCAGUGGAGACCGCCGGGGUCAACUCGGAGGAAGGUGGGGAUGACGUCAAGUCAUCAUGCCCCUUAUGUCCAGGGCUUCACGCAUGCUACAAUGGCUGGUACAGAGAGUGGCGAGCCUGUGAGGGUGAGCGAAUCUCGGAAAGCCGGUCUCAGUUCGGAUUGGGGUCUGCAACUCGACCUCAUGAAGUCGGAGUCGCUAGUAAUCGCAGAUCAGCAACGCUGCGGUGAAUACGUUCCCGGGGCUUGUACACACCGCCCGUCAAGUCAUGAAAGUUGGCAACACCCGAAGCCGGUGGCCUAACCGUUGUGGGGGAGCCGUCGAAGGUGGGACUGGUGAUUAGGACUAAGUCAUAAC
rnacentral:rRNA from 1 species